AGCCUAAAUCUUAUUUCAUAAGACAUGGCACAAAAUCCACAUGCAUACUGAACCCGUCAUUCAGAUCCAUGCAUGUGGUCUAUAUCCGAAAGGGUAUGGGAGACGCAAGUCUC
rnacentral:sRNA from 1 species